AGUGAACGCUGGCGGUAGGCCUAACACAUGCAAGUCGAACGGCAGCACAGUAAGAGCUUGCUCUUACGGGUUGCGAGUGGCGGACGGGUGAGGAAUACAUCUGAAUCUACUUUUUCGUGGGGGAUAACGUAGGGAAACUUACGCUAAUACCUCAUACGACCUACGGGUGAAAGCAGGGGAUCUUCGGACCUUGCGCGAUUGAAUGAGCCGAUGUCUGAUUAGCUAGUUGGCGGGGUAAAGGCCCACCAAGGCGACGAUCCGUAGCUGGUCUGAGAGGAUGAUCAGGCACACUGGAACUGAGAAACGGUCCAGACUCCUACGGGAGGCAGCAGUGGGGAAUAUUGGACAAGGGGCGAAAGCCUGAUACAGCCAUACCGCGUGGGUGAAGAAGGCCUUAGGGUUGUAAAGCCCUUUUGUUGGGAAAGAAAAGAAGCAGGUUAAUAAACCGCUGUUCUGACGGUACCCAAAGAAUAAGCACCGGCUAACUUCGUG
rnacentral:rRNA from 1 species